rnacentral:SRP_RNA from 1 species
GCCAGAUGUGGUAGUGCUCACCUGUAAUCCCUGCUUCUUGGGACGCUGAGGCAGGAGGAUUGUUUGAGAAUAGGACUUGGGGCUCUAGUGUGCUAGAGUGUUUAGCAUAAAUAUGGUGACCUCCUGCGAGUGGGGGACCACCAGGUUGCCUCAGGAGRGUCGAACUUACCCAGGUGAGAAAUGGAGUAAUCAAAAUUCACAUGCUGAUCCAUAGUGGGAUCUCAUCUGUGAAUAAACUCUGCACUCCAGUCUGAGCAGAAUAAGAUUCUGCCUCU